AAUGACGGCCACUCUGGAGCUGCUGGAGCUGAGGAGGAGAGUGGCGUCCGAGCUGACCACCGCGGGGUCGGGACCGCAGGUCAAAGCCGGGGUCCAGUCCAUGGCCGAGCUCCCUCUGCCCCUGAACCAGAAGUACCUUAGCAUCGACGCCGCAGCCAUAGUGCGGGGGAACACCGUGGGCGACGGCAGGGCGCAGGUUGUGGAGCGAAUGGGCAGACUGGUCAAAGCUCUGAAUGUUUUGGAGAAGUAUGGCCUCAACCUGCACAACCUUGCCAGACCCCGUUACUGGCGCAGUGUCAAGCACAACAACCCCAUCUUCAAAGCUCAGGUGGACAGCAUGCAGGUCAGUUAGACCCUCCUCCUCCUCCUUCUUCUUCUCCUUCUCCUCCCCCUCUUCCUUCUCUCCCUCCUCCUCCUCCUCCUCUUCCUCUUCCUCAGUCCUUCUCGAGGUACUGAGUUAGUGGUUAGAUGCCCACUGGAGUCACCAAUGCUAUGAAUACAUUCAUUGACGGUAUUGUGGGACGCUUUGAAAUUUUGAAUAAAGGUUUCCACCAAGUGAAACAUUACAGGAAAUAACAUGUUCUGUACAUACCAGUGGCCACUUGGUGGAGCAAGAGAGUCGACUUAUGUGAGUGGCAGCGUUGUUGUUUCAUGAUCAUAGCCUAAAGUAACUGAAGAAGUUCUGAAAUAGUUUUCACAAAGUGCUUGCUUAUAGUCGGAAAUUAUCCUGGAUGUAGAUGGGCAGGGGAGUAUGUUACUACAACAUGAUUAGUCACUUAACAUAGUAAGUAAAACACAGUCUUCACCACUAUUCAGACAAGUAAUGGUUUACAAGUUUGGUAUAUUCAAUUGCUCACAUAUUAUCAUCAUGUUUCCUUAGUUCUUCAAACAUGUAAGUCAACCCUGAUUUAAAUGCACUGAUUCCGCCUCUCCUUGAUGGCCUUCUCCACAGGGUGGGCGGGGCAUCCUCUAUCUCUAUGGUUACACCGUCCAGCAGGUCGACGGCCUGGUGUUCCCUGACGACGUCCUGCAGCCCGAUAGAGACAAGGUCGCCGCGGUGACCCUCGAGGUCACGUGCCUGCGCUUGGAGCUGGAGAUGCUCAUCAAGGUACCGGUGAUGGACCGGAGGCACUGGCGUAUCAGUUAUUGAUCCGCGGUUUACCGAAGGCCUACAGUAUGUUCAAUAAUCACAAUAUCAUGCAAGUCUACAAGUAGGAAUGUAACAGGAGUAUCUGGGCCGAGACAGUGGAGCCAAGAGGUUGUAAUAAGACCUCCCUGAGGAUGAUACCAGACUGCCAAUUGCAGUGGAUUAAAAGUGUGAUAUUACUCAUUCAUUACUCAUGAAUCAGCGAUGUUGGGUGACGUCACUUCUGUUGGUAUUUGAAGAAAGGAUCCAAACAAACAGAGCCGGCUCGCCCCUCCCUUCCCCCCCCCUUGUCGGUGAUUGGUUGGCAUACUAUUUAUUUUGGUUUUGAGUGGUUGGUAGUAACGUUUGAUUUUGUGUAUGAUCUCGGAGCAUAGGCUGCCUACAGAGACGCAUUUUUUGGACGACCUGCUUAAUGGGCGGGCAGCUAGCGGAUCGCGAGGAAAGAUCAGAUGAAUGAGAUCAUUUAUGUUUCGGUCUAGCAUCGGUGAUCCAAACUUUAACCUGUGGGGCCUGCUGUAGCAGUCACCACCGCAGCUCCACUACAACUAUUACUGAACCCUA
ensembl:lncRNA